rnacentral:rRNA from 1 species
CGAAUCUCCAAAAAUUAGUCCCACGUUCAGAUUGCAGGCUGCAACUCGCCUGCAUGAAGUCGGAAUUGCUAGUAAUCGUGGAUCAGCAUGCCACGGUGAAUACGUUCCCGGGCCUUGUACACACCGCCCGUCACACCAUGGGAGUCGGUAACACCCGAAGCCUGUAGUCUAACCGCAAGGAGGACGCAGUCGAAGGUGGGAUUGAUGACUGGGGUGAAGUCGUAACAAGGUAUC